rnacentral:rRNA from 1 species
UAGGGANNCNUNNNNNAUGGACGGAAGUCUGACCGAGCAACGCCGCGUGAGUGAAGAAGGUUUUCGGAUCGUAAAGCUCUGUUGUAAGAGAAGAACGAGUGUGAGAGUGGAAAGUUCACACUGUGACGGUAUCUUACCAGAAAGGGACGGCUAACUACGUGCCAGCAGCCGCGGUAAUACGUAGGUCCCGAGCGUUGUCCGGAUUUAUUGGGCGUAAAGCGAGCGCAGGCGGCUAGAUAAGUCUGAAGUUAAAGGCUGUGGCUUAACCAUAGUACGCUUUGGAAACUGUUUAACUUGAGUGCAAGAGGGGAGAGUGGAAUUCCAUGUGUAGCGGUGAAAUGCGUAGAUAUAUGGAGGAACACCGGUGGCGAAAGCGGCCCUCUGGCUUGUAACUGACGCUGAGGCUCGAAAGCGUGGGGAGCAAACAGGAUUAGAUACCCUGGUAGUCCACGCCGUAAACGAUGUCUACCAGUCGUUGGGUCUUUUAAAGACUUAGUGACGCAGUUAACGCAAUAAGUAGACCGCCUGGGGAGUACGGCCGCAAGGUUAA